GGACCGGGGGAAUCCGACUGUCUAAUUAAAACAAAGCAUUGCGAGGGCCGUUGAUCGGUGCUGACGCAAUGUGAUUUCUGCCCAGUGCUCUGAAUGUCAAAGUGAAGAAAUUCAAAAAAGCGCGGGUAAACGGCGGGAGUAACUAUGACUCUCUUGGGGGCGAGGUUGAGAUUGGGGGGCGAGGUUGAGAUUGUUGGUUUCUUUGGAUCUUUGACUCAGCCUCAAGCAGGCACGCCUCCACGUGGCGCCCCUGGGUACAGGGUGGUUAAACACCCUGUAGCUAAGUGCCUGCCGACCCGUGUUAGGGAAAAGCCGGAGAGAAAUUCCU
rnacentral:rRNA from 1 species